rnacentral:tRNA from 1 species
AGAAAUUUAGGAUUUGAUCUAGUCCAAGAGCCUUCAAAGCUUUUAGCAGGGGCGGAAAUCCCCUAAUCUCUG